GAUGAACGCUGGCGGCGUGCCUAAUACAUGCAAGUCGAGCGAACGGACGAGAAGCUUGCUUCUCUGACGUUAGCGGCGGACGGGUGAGUAACACGUGGAUAACCUACCUAUAAGACUGGGAUAACUUCGGGAAACCGGAGCUAAUACCGGAUAAUAUAUUGAACCGCAUGGUUCAAUAGUGAAAGACGGUUUUGCUGUCACUUAUAGAUGGAUCCGCGCCGCAUUAGCUAGUUGGUAAGGUAACGGCUUACCAAGGCGACGAUGCGUAGCCGACCUGAGAGGGUGAUCGGCCACACUGGAACUGAGACACGGUCCAGACUCCUACGGGAGGCAGCAGUAGGGAAUCUUCCGCAAUGGGCGAAAGCCUGACGGAGCAACGCCGCGUGAGUGAUGAAGGUCUUCGGAUCGUAAAACUCUGUUAUUAGGGAAGAACAAAUGUGUAAGUAACUAUGCACGUCUUGACGGUACCUAAUCAGAAAGCCACGGCUAACUACGUG
rnacentral:rRNA from 1 species